rnacentral:rRNA from 1 species
CCUACGGGUGGCUGCAGUGGGGAAUAUUGGACAAUGGGGGCAACCCUGAUCCAGCCAUGCCGCGUGUGUGAAGAAGGCCCUCGGGUUGUAAAGCACUUUCAGUGAGGAAGAACGCCUGGUGGUUAAUACCCAUCAGGAAAGACAUCACUCACAGAAGAAGCACCGGCUAACUCCGUGCCAGCAGCCGCGGUAAUACGGAGGGUGCGAGCGUUAAUCGGAAUUACUGGGCGUAAAGCGCGCGUAGGUGGCUUGAUAAGCCGGUUGUGAAAGCCCCGGGCUCAACCUGGGAACGGCAUCCGGAACUGUCAAGCUAGAGUGCGGGAGAGGAAGGUAGAAUUCCCGGUGUAGCGGUGAAAUGCGUAGAGAUCGGGAGGAAUACCAGUGGCGAAGGCGGCCUUCUGGACUGACACUGACACUGAGGUGCGAAAGCGUGGGUAGCAAACAGGAUUAGAUACCCUAGUAGUC